rnacentral:rRNA from 1 species
GACAGAGGGUGCAAACGUUGCUCGGAAUCACUGGGCGUAAAGGGCGUGUAGGCGGGAAGGAAAGUCAGAUGUGAAAUCCCUGGGCUCAACCCAGGAACUGCAUUUGAAACUCCCUUUCUUGAGUACCGGAGAGGAAAGUGGAAUUCCUGGUGUAGAGGUGAAAUUCGUAGAUAUCAGGAGGAACACCAGUGGCGAAGGCGGCUUUCUGGACGGUAACUGACGCUGAUGCGCGAAAGCUAGGGGAGCAAACAGG